rnacentral:rRNA from 1 species
GACGAACGCUGGCGGCGUGCUUAACACUUGCAAGUCGCACGGAAAGGCCCUGCUUUUGUGGGGUGCUCGAGUGGCGAACGGGUGAGUAACACGUGAGUAACCUCCCCUUGACUUUGGGAUAACUUCAUGAAACUGGGGCUAAUACCGGCUAGGAGCUCCUGCUUCCUGGUGUGGGUUGGAAAGUUUCGGCGGUUGGGGAUGUACUCGCGGCUUAUCAGCUUGUUGGUGGGGUAGUGGCUUACCAAGGCUUUGACGGGUAGCCGGCCUGAGAGGGUGACCGGCCAGAUUGGGACUGAGAUACGGCCCAGACUACUACGGGAGGCAGCAGUGGGGAAUAUUGCACAAUGGGCGGAAGCCUGAUGCAGCAACGCAGCGUGCGGGAUGACGGCCUUCGGGUUGUAAACCGCUUUCGCCUGUGACGAAGCGUGAGUGACGGUAAUGGGUAAAGAAGCACCGGCUAACUACGUG